AAUAUUGCACAAUGGGCGCAAGCCUGAUGCAGCAACGCCGCGUGCGCGACGAAGGCCUUCGGGUCGUAAAGCGCUUUUCGGGGAGAUGAGUACGGACAGUAUCCCCGGAAGAAGGAUCCGCUAACUACCUGCCAGUAGCCGCGGUAAAACGUAGGAUCCGAGCGUUAUCCGAAUUCACUCGGCGUAAAGCGCAUGCAGGCGGCCGCACAAGUAGGAUGAGAAGUCUCCCGGCUCAACUGGGAGGGGACGUUAAAAACUGUGCGGCUCGAGGGCGGUAGAGGAAGGUAGAAUUCCCGGUGUAGUGGUGAAAUGCGUAGAUAUCGGGAGGAAUACCCGUGGCGAAGGCGACCUUCUGGACCGUUUCUGACGCUCAGAUGCGAAAGCUAGGGGAGCGAACGGG
rnacentral:rRNA from 1 species